CCGGACGGCGCGGGGGGACGGUACCGGCGGAGGAAGCCCCUGCAAACUACGUGCCAGCAGCCGCGGUAAGACGUAGGGGGCAAGCGUUGUCCGGAAUUACUGGGCGUAAAGGGCGUGUAGGCGGUCGCGCACGUAGCGGUUUUCAGCCGUCGGCUCACCCGACGGAGGGCGGCUAAACGGCGCGGCUCGAGGGCAGGAGAGGUGCAUGGAAUUCCUGGUGGAGCGGUGAAAUGCGUAGAGAUCAGGAAGAACACCGGUGGCGAAGGCGGUGCACUGGCCUGGCCCUGACGCUGAGGCGCGACAGCGUGGGGAGCGAACGGGAUUAGAUACCCUGGUAGUCAAGGGCG
rnacentral:rRNA from 1 species